CCGCCUACUGCAGACGCUGAUUGGUUUACGCUUCCCGCUAACGCUUUUGUUGUGCGUUUUGAGGAUACCUGGUUGGCUGACACUCAAGUCAAUCCCUGCAACAGAGGUGGCCGUGUGACGCGUGAGGCCGUUUUUGGCGCGAGAGCGGCUCGCGCAGGCGCACGCUGAUUGGCUGGACGCGCCACUGGACGGAUGCGUGCGCGAGAGGCAGCGAACUCCUGUGUGCAGGGAAAAAGCCGUCGCCGCCUCAGCCUCUUUAUCCAACACGAAUAAGAGAUCAUCGAAAAAUAUCUCAGGGAGCUCUGAAUGGUGUAAUCUCUGCACUUCCUCCAGUAUAGUACCAUAGGUGAGUGUCGAA